rnacentral:rRNA from 1 species
UACAGAGGGGGCAAGCGUUGUUCGGAAUUACUGGGCGUAAAGGGCGCGUAGGCGGCCUUCUAAGUCGAACGUGAAAUCCCCGGGCUCAACCCGGGAACUGCGUCCGAUACUGGAAGGCUUGAAUCCGGGAGAGGGAUGCGGAAUUCCAGGUGUAGCGGUGAAAUGCGUAGAUAUCUGGAGGAACACCGGUGGCGAAAGGCGGC